AAAUGCACAGAUCACCCUGGAAAAAAAGAACUUCUACCGACAAAAGAAAGCUUUAAAGAGAUACUCCAGAGCUACUAUAACGAGCUGAAAUCCUUACCAGAAAGGAUCAUUGUUUAUCGCGAUGGCGUAAAAAAGGAAGAAGAUGCUAUUCGGGUGGAGAUUAUCAACUUGGACAACGGUAUUUUCGGUGCUCUCUCGGAAGUCUCACAGUUCCAGGG